rnacentral:rRNA from 2 species
UUAAGCGACUAAGCGUACACGGUGGAUGCCCUGGCAGUCAGAGGCGAUGAAGGACGUGCUAAUCUGCGAUAAGCGUCGGUAAGGUGAUAUGAACCGUUAUAACCGGCGAUUUCCGAAUGGGGAAACCCAGUGUGUUUCGACACACUAUCAUUAACUGAAUCCAUAGGUUAAUGAGGCGAACCGGGGGAACUGAAACAUCUAAGUACCCCGAGGAAAAGAAAUCAACCGAGAUUCCCCCAGUAGCGGCGAGCGAACGGGGAGCAGCCCAGAGCCUGAAUCAGUGUGUGUGUUAGUGGAAGCGUCUGGAAAGGCGCGCGAUACAGGGUGACAGCCCCGUACACAAAAAUACACAUACUGUGAGCUCGAUGAGUAGGGCGGGACACGUGGUAUCCUGUCUGAAUAUGGGGGGACCAUCCUCCAAGGCUAAAUACUCCUGACUGACCGAUAGUGAACCAGUACCGUGAGGGAAAGGCGAAAAGAACCCCGGCGAGGGGAGUGAAAAAGAACCUGAAACCGUGUACGUACAAGCAGUGGGAGCACAGAGCAAUCUGUGUGACUGCGUACCUUUUGUAUAAUGGGUCAGCGACUUAUAUUCUGUAGCAAGGUUAACCGAAUAGGGGAGCCGAAGGGAAACCGAGUCUUAACUGGGCGUUAAGUUGCAGGGUAUAGACCCGAAACCCGGUGAUCUAGCCAUGGGCAGGUUGAAGGUUGGGUAACACUAACUGGAGGACCGAACCGACUAAUGUUGAAAAAUUAGCGGAUGACUUGUGGCUGGGGGUGAAAGGCCAAUCAAACCGGGAGAUAGCUGGUUCUCCCCGAAAGCUAUUUAGGUAGCGCCUCGUGAAUUCAUCUCCGGGGGUAGAGCACUGUUUCGGCAAGGGGGUCAUCCCGACUUACCAACCCGAUGCAAACUACGAAUACCGGAGAAUGUUAUCACGGGAGACACACGGCGGGUGCUAACGUCCGUCGUGAAGAGGGAAACAACCCAGACCGCCAGCUAAGGUCCCAAAGUCAUGGUUAAGUGGGAAACGAUGUGGGAAGGCCCAGACAGCCAGGAUGUUGGCUUAGAAGCAGCCAUCAUUUAAAGAAAGCGUAAUAGCUCACUGGUCGAGUCGGCCUGCGCGGAAGAUGUAACGGGGCUAAACCAUGCACCGAAGCUGCGGCAGCGACGCUUAUGCGUUGUUGGGUAGGGGAGCGUUCUGUAAGCCUGCGAAGGUGUGCUGUGAGGCAUGCUGGAGGUAUCAGAAGUGCGAAUGCUGACAUAAGUAACGAUAAAGCGGGUGAAAAGCCCGCUCGCCGGAAGACCAAGGGUUCCUGUCCAACGUUAAUCGGGGCAGGGUGAGUCGACCCCUAAGGCGAGGCCGAAAGGCGUAGUCGAUGGGAAACAGGUUAAUAUUCCUGUACUUGGUGUUACUGCGAAGGGGGGACGGAGAAGGCUAUGUUGGCCGGGCGACGGUUGUCCCGGUUUAAGCGUGUAGGCUGGUUUUCCAGGCAAAUCCGGAAAAUCAAGGCUGAGGCGUGAUGACGAGGCACUACGGUGCUGAAGCAACAAAUGCCCUGCUUCCAGGAAAAGCCUCUAAGCAUCAGGUAACAUCAAAUCGUACCCCAAACCGACACAGGUGGUCAGGUAGAGAAUACCAAGGCGCUUGAGAGAACUCGGGUGAAGGAACUAGGCAAAAUGGUGCCGUAACUUCGGGAGAAGGCACGCUGAUAUGUAGGUGAAGUCCCUCGCGGAUGGAGCUGAAAUCAGUCGAAGAUACCAGCUGGCUGCAACUGUUUAUUAAAAACACAGCACUGUGCAAACACGAAAGUGGACGUAUACGGUGUGACGCCUGCCCGGUGCCGGAAGGUUAAUUGAUGGGGUUAGCGGUAACGCGAAGCUCUUGAUCGAAGCCCCGGUAAACGGCGGCCGUAACUAUAACGGUCCUAAGGUAGCGAAAUUCCUUGUCGGGUAAGUUCCGACCUGCACGAAUGGCGUAAUGAUGGCCAGGCUGUCUCCACCCGAGACUCAGUGAAAUUGAACUCGCUGUGAAGAUGCAGUGUACCCGCGGCAAGACGGAAAGACCCCGUGAACCUUUACUAUAGCUUGACACUGAACAUUGAGCCUUGAUGUGUAGGAUAGGUGGGAGGCUU